rnacentral:tRNA from 1 species
GGUGCGAGAGCCAGACGGCCAGGCAACGCACUGCAAAUGCGUGAAAGCGGGUUCGACUCCCGCUCGCACCU